GUCUACAGCCAUGCUAACCUGAACAAGCCCGAUCCCAUAUGAUCUCGAAAGCUAAGCAGGAUUGGGCCUCGUUAGUACUUGGAUGGGAGACCACCUAGGAAGACCAAGUGCUGUAGGUG
rnacentral:rRNA from 1 species